CUUCAGGAACCAGAGGCAGACUGACGGACUCGAUGUGAAGUGCUGCCGACGGAGGACAAGGAGCCCCUGGUGCUGCCGGAGGUCACCGACGGAUGUGAAAGGUGUGAUUCUUACGAGGUCGCUGGCUGACACACAGCGACUCUCACACCUCGCCCGCACGCGGGUGGCGCUGAUCAUUUCUUUCGGUAAAUUGAGAGCAAGAGCGUCGCCGGCAUUGUUUCGGAGUGUGGAAACAAGGCCAGUUUAGGACGCACAAUGAGAAGGACACACGGGACGCACAAAGCGGACUGUUUGCCAAGUGGCAGCGCUCAUGUACAGCAUGCGUGAGCCUCUUUGUCCUUCAUUCUCCAGACCAGCCUGUUGUGCAACACUUGUCCAUUUCAUCAUAGGUUCUAUUUUUCAGCCGUUACGCACGCAUGUUGAUAACAUACAUGUGCGUGUUGAUAGAAGAUAGAACAGGAAUUUGAGCGGUUUAGCAGUUGAGUGGAAAUCUCAGUCCUAAGCCUAUUCAUCCCGUGAGCAUCCUCACUGCUCGUCAGCGUCUCCCCCCUUUGCGUCUCCAGCUGUGACACUCAAACACUGCAUGGCAUCCCCCUGCACCUCUGGGCCCCAGAUGUUUCUCUGCACCCACUAUAAGCCGCUCAAAGUAAGGCCUCCUAAAUAGCCAGUGCAACACCAGCAUGAGGCCCGUGUCCAGCCUGUGGGGGGGUCGUAGGGAAGCACUUGGACAGGAAGUGGACUAAUGCCAACACAACCUUUCACACAUGGCUGCAGGCAGACAUGUCAGAGGCCUUAGAGGACGUUGGGCCAUGACAGCUGCACAUGUGACGGCACGCGUCCUGGUUUCCGGGGUGAACGGAGCUGAACCGUAACGAAGUGGAACAGCGGAGGGCGCACACACCCUGCAGCACGGCGAGGCUAGCAGCAUUUAAGCCACACGCGUCGCUGCCCUUCAGCAUCACCUCUAGCCGUAACCUCGGUCCCGUUCGUGCAAAUCAAACCGCUAUUUUCUCUCUUUGAAUCGGAGAGAAUCCAGCAGCGGCCCAUUUGACUCUGAGAGAGCGGCGGCUCCGGGGGCAGCGAGGGCAGCAUCCCCCUGCCCUCGCCUAGCUAACAGACUAGCAGCACCUAGCUAGCUAGCCAAGGUGGACAGCGGACAAGCGUCUCCUGUGAGCGACCGUGGCGGCCAGUUGACGGGAAGCGGCGAUCGGGCCCAACGUUCACUCCAGCUGGCACGCAGAUCCUCCCGCAGCAUCCCACGGAUAAAGAGAAGUCCAGUUAACAGCUGACCGGAGAGCAGCUUUCCGCACCUUCAUCGGGAACGUCGCCGCUGCCGCGCGGUUCACAAACUGUCCCGGAACAGUUUCAUCACAUCUGGAGGAUGGGGAGGGGGCACAGAUGACCUCUGCCGGGCCGAUGGAGGUCAUUCACAGCCUGCCACCGCUGCAAAGACUUUUCAACAAUUCUUCACACAUGUUUGUGGUGCGCAGUCAGCUGCUGUGCACUAAAUACAGAUUUGGUGCCAAAAAUACCAGAUGUGAGACACACUGUUUUCACUGCAACACAAUGUAAAUGAAUACAACAAUCUUAAAGCAAAUGUAGUUGAUAACAUACAUAUCAAUGUUUUUACAUUCAUAUUGUGUAUGUUUAUGAUGUUGAAGUUAUCACUGCGCAAGACAAAUAUGUCCACCUAAAGAUAAAGGUGGUGUUUUAUGACAGACGCACUUCAUUUUACUUUACUCAAAGAUCUGCUUGUACAUCCUCGAAUGAAGCAGCUUCGACCUGCUGGUUGUGCAGGGCAAAGACGAGGUGUGAGACGUUGUGCACUUCUGUGUGUGUGAGACUUCUCAGAAACCCGGCUGUGUGGUUGCGUGAAGGCGCUUCCUUCACUGCAGCUGGCAGCGAGGAGCUACUCUGAGAACCUGCACCUCCUUCACCCACCACGCACCUCCUUCACCUCUUAUUUCA